UACGUAGGGGGCUAGCGUUGUCCGGAAUCAUUGGGCGUAAAGCGCGUGUAGGCGGUCCGGUAAGUCCGCUGUGAAAGUCGGGGGCUCAACCCUCGGAUGCCGGUGGAUACUGUCGGGCUUGAGUACGGAAGAGGCGAGUGGAAUUCCUGGUGUAGCGGUGAAAUGCGCAGAUAUCAGGAGGAAUACCGGUGGCGAAGGCGGCAUCCUGGACCGACAUUGACGCUGAACGGCGAAAGCUAGGGAGCAAACGGG
rnacentral:rRNA from 1 species